AGUAUGGUCUCAAAAAUAAAAUACAAAAAAAUUGUGUCAUAAUAUAAAAAAGACUCCAUAAAAUCCUAUGGUGCUACAAUUACAUUUUAAAGAGAUAUAAGAAAAUGUUACUUAAGCCAAUUCAACCCUUUUUCCUGUUUGAAAAAAAAAAUCACAAUUAAAAUAAUAGUAUUGGAAAUUAAAUGUAAGAAAUAAAAAAAAAAUGCGUGCAAGUUCUAAAAUCUUGUUAUCCACAACAGGCAUUUUGGAAGUGUUUAUCUUUUCAAACAGGUAAAUCUUUAAACACUGUCCGGUUGGACUAGGGUAUAGCGAGGUGGUGGAGAGCUUGCUUAACAUGAGCCUGCUUUAACAGGUACUGUGUAGACAUGUAUUUUCUAACUACAACCUGCUCGGUUCACCUAAUGUUAUUCGUAGGCGUGUUUUCAGGGCUGCCCACUGGGCCCUGGCCCACCAAUAGGUGUGCUCUUCCCUGGGAAGCCCCACCCCUCCUGCUCCCAGCUUCCCCUCAGUUGCCUGUAGUUCUUUUGUAGGGUUGAAGCCUCGGGGCUUUUCUCUGUCCACUUUGUCGUGUCCAUUGGUGUCUCCUCAAGAUGAACAAAAGAUGGUUCCUGACUAACCAAGCAGCCAGCAGCAUCUGCUGAAUGCACUCAAAUAAACCUCAACUUGCUCAAGCCAACGAAUCUAACUAUUUCUUUUACACAGUGUGUUUUCCUCAAACUAUCCUAAUGUCUGCCUUUAAUUCUUUUACGUUUUUCCAAAGCUUUCAAGUCACUAACUUCAAAAGUAUUCCUCGAAUACAGCCUGACAAAAUUUUAGCCCUGUCCAGUUAGAGACCUAACUUAAUAUUCUGCCAUUAAGUCACUAACAAAAUAGUCCACCGUACCAGAAGGUCAGUUAUCUGAAAUCCAUUUUCUCUUCUUAUUUUGACACACUAGGCAUCAACUGACAACACAAAUAAAUGAAAUGCUGCCAUACAGCAACAUGUGCGGCACUCAGAAUGGCACAGAGCCAUUGACUGUGUGCACUGUGACUUGUACUGUGCCAACAGCAGAAGGCCACACAAGCUUGCUGUCACAACACAACUACCUGAUUCUGCUGCUGCGAAAUCACCCACAGAUGAAGAGUUGUGCUGGCUCAGUGAGUAAAAGCAGAAACACUUGCUGUGUGGUACACAUAAAGACCUGAGUUCCAUCCCAAGCACCGCCACAGGAAAGCCUGCAUGAUGGUACAACUAUAUUCCCAGCACUGAGAGGCAGAGACAGGACACUUCUGUGCUGGAUUUCAGAGGCUCCAUGUUUCAAAGAGUCCUUGAUGAAGAGCAUGGCAAACUGGAAUACUAAGGAAGACUUGGAAAGAAGAAGCAAUGUUGCAGAGGUAGGCUGAGAGAGAAAGUAACGUUCAAGAAAAUGAAGAACGAGCUCUUCGGAGAACUACAGUUCAUUGAAAGUCCUAGGGUCAAUCAACCGACACGUCUUGUGACUACUUGUUCCUCCCACCCACAGGAGUAAACUCCUGUAGGAAGCUGACGUCCAAACCCAGACCUACACUGCCCGGUCUUGAGUAGAAGCUAAGUGGCAUUCCACCUGAGUGAGACAGAACGUAUAACUGGCCUACUGCUACCCUUCCUGUGACCACUUCAACAUUUGUGUUCGUUUUCUCUUUUGUUUCAAUUCACUGUUUUUAAACGCUAGUUUGUUAUUUGAAAUUAAACAACUUAAUUCUGACAACACAA